rnacentral:lncRNA from 1 species
UGUAUGUAUGUAUGUAUGACGUUGAUUACACUGUGGGCUGAAAAGCCGGGGGCCCAGGGCCGAAACACAGCGCGGGGGGCGGGUGCAUACGGCUGGUCAGUCUCAUGCACUCCGCCCCCGGGUCAGGCCGCACGGGAAACGACGGCCGGCACGCAACAGCGCUUGUUUGGCGCUCCAACUAGACGGGAUCUAUGCCCGUUGGUCUCCUAACAUAAACGAAGUCGCAACUGGGGGGCUCUUCCUGCCGAACGAACGAACCGAGCAUCUCAGAGAGCUCGCUACCAGGACCUGGGCGACCGGGAGCCCGACGAGUCAUCCCGGGCUGGGGAGGUCACCAAGCUCAAAAAUCCUCACGCAAAAAAGAGCGCAAAGAGCUCACACCACAAGACGCCAAACAGCCUCCUGAGACUACUACCCUCCUCCGCCUCUCCCUCCCUGGGCUAGUCCAGGGGAGAUAGCCCCCGUCGAGGGGGUACCACCGCACAAGUCCGCGCCCUUCCACAGCACUGGGUCUAACUUGAAAAGUACUCAAACGGGAAGACCCUGCGGCCACGCCGGGCGAUCAAGCCUCCGGAAACCACAGGGGGGGAGGGUAGCCAGCUCGGCGCCCCCCCAAUGUAUAUAUGUAUAUAUGUAUAUGUAUAUAUGUAUGUAUAUAUGUACGUAUAUAUAUGUAUGUAUGUAUGUAUGUACCUGUGUGUAUGUGUGUAUGUGUACAUCACCCUGAAACCCCAUCAUUACCACCACCGCUACCACCAUCGUCAUAGCGCAAAGCAUCUGCAUUUUCUGAACAACUCCGCACAUCCAGCAUCUCCAAUGUCCCCUCCUCCUCUCGGCUGGGUGCAUUAAAAUGCACACACGCAUUAAGGCACACACACACAUAUGCACGUACGCAUUUCUUCCGCGCUUUCUCCCCCCUCCCACCCCACCCACCCACCCAACCCCCUAAUUAAUGCAGGCUACGAGGACCUGUACGUUACCGGCACCUGCGAGCGGCUCUACAAGUGGAAGUUCGCCCACAUGAAUUCCGUUGACUUUCAGUUGCGGUGCGCCAAGAGGAUAGGGCCCUCGGGGCAGCCGGAGCUGGAUCCCAACGGCCAACCGGAACCGUUACAGUUAUUUCUGUUGGAUCAGAACGCGUCGCGGGGCCGGGGCAUCGCCUACAUUCCCCUGGCCAAGGUCGAUAAGGACGGUGGGUGAGUGGGUGUGAGGUUAGGGGGCCCGAAACCUCAACCUCGACAAGAAAACCUGCACGGCUUCCUCCCUCCCCUUCCCCGCCGUCGGACGUCGGCAGGCGACUCAUGCAUUCUAUAAAUACCCCGCUUUAUCCCCUCCCCGCCCCCCCUUCCCCAGUUCUACGUCUGGUACACUCUUGCCCUGGCAGCAGCUUCACUCGUUCGUGGUUCGUCUUUCCCCCCCUACCCCCUUCNNNNNNNNNNNNNNNNNNNNNNNNNNNNNNNNNNNNNNNNNNNNNNNNNNCUGGAAGUUCAUGCGGGAGCGGAAGGACAAGGACACGCCCAACGCGUCGCGGGUUUACCUUCGGGUACGGCAGUACGGCUGCUGGGGGGUUGGUGGGGGGAAAGGGCGUGUGGUGGGAGGAUAUUCAUGUGUGUGGCUCUUGGUUUGUGAUUCACCUUUCCUCCCCCCUCCCCCCCCCCCCCUUACACACAUUCACCCACGCAUACACACACACCGCGCACUCCGCUCACCCGGCAGCAGCCUUCUAGCUAUUUCUCUCAUCUUCGCCAACACUAAACCGGCCGCUGGCGGCCGUUCCACUACCUCCACCUCCACCUCCUCUUCCGGUCCCCGGCACAGACGCCUGCUGUCCAUUCCGUGUUUUCUUGAAUAGAUUCCCCCACACCCCACCCCAGACCGCUCCAUCUCCAUCCCCCCACACAGACAUCACAACCCGUCUGACGACCGUUCUUGGCUUGGCAUCUCGUAUUUGAUUCCCCUGAUGUCCCUCAACUCCCUGAAUCCUUCAAAAACGUUUCAACAAGUCCUCCUCUCUCCCUUAUCGACACUUAAUCCUUCUUGCUUCUUGCUUUUGCAUGGCAUGAUUUCCCCCCUCCGCCCCCCCAUUGCUGUUCCCAACUUUGGACUCUCGGGCACACUCUGGUGUUUUUCCCUUCUUGACUUGGCUUGAUUGACUUGGCGGCAUGUAAUUCCCUUUCCCUCCCCUCCCCACACCCUUGCCCUCUGGCAGCAGCUUCACUCGUGUGUGGUUCGUCUUUCCCCCCCCCUCCCCCCUGCUAUCAGCUCUCCACAUACCGCUCACGACGCCAGCAGCAAUUUCGGACCUUGGGCCUUGGACACACCAGCAGCAGUUCGUUCACUUUUCGCAAUUUUUCGCAUAUGUUCCCCCCCCCGCUCCCAAUACACACACGCACACACAUACACACACACACUCACCCCUUGGCAUGUAAACACCCCCACCCCAUCUCCCGCCAUUCCCCUCCCCUUCCCCCCUUCCUCCUUACCGCACUUCUCUCCGCUACUUUCAUUCGCUUUGGCCCGCACCUCGUGCAACAAAUCUGCGGAAUUCCCAUGGGCAUAUCCCCGGCCCCUUAUUUUGCAAACCUCUUCCUCGCUUGGCAUGAAUAUAAAUUCUUACAGCAAUUCUACUCCUCUACUACCUCUUCCCAUAAUAAAAUUAUCCUUAAAUCUUUUCAGUUUACUAAACGUUACCUCGACGACCUCCUCUCCCUGGGAAACCCACACCUAUCAUCCCUCCUCUUCUACCUAUCGGAAUCAGUCGGACCCCACACCUUGCGCGGUAUUUACCCCCCUCAGCUUGAAAUUCCAGUUCAGCAACACCCCGACGGCAAAACACCUUUCUUAGAUAUCCUUUUAGUACAUACCCUACGUAACGGCUGCAGUUGGUAUGAUACUCAUCUUUAUGAUAAGCUACAGCAAUCAGCUUUUUUAGAUAUUCGCCUUUCUCGCUUUGUUCAUGCAUCCUCGUCCGUUAAUGAAGCAGCAAAACGAAAUAUUUUCAUCAGCCAAUUCCGUAGAUUACAGCGCAUUAUCACGGACGUUCAGAAUUUUGCGCAUUCCGUGGCUAACCUCAUGGCACAACUCGUUGUGCAAGGUUACCCGCGACGGCGCCUUGAGAUACAAUGUGCUCAACAACUCUUCUACUGGCCACAACUCUUCUUAGUACAACGCCGUAAUGGCUUCGAUAUCCUUUCUCACAUCCUUAACCUGCUCCCUACCCUGCUUCCUAAUUCUCCUUCCUCGCUUCACUAACUCUUGUUCCUGCAACUCUCUAUCCUGCCCCUAAUUACCUUUACUCCUUUGUAGUUCUUCUUUUCCUGCCCUUAAUACGUUUAUUCCUGCCCCUCCCGUUAGGCACCACGGAGUUGCAUGCAGAUGCUCCUGGUGCGCACGGUUUGGCGGGAGCCAUAUGUGGCCCCGACCCACGCACUAUUUUCAUCUGCCCCCGCUUUUUUGCACAGCUUUUUUGCACAAGCUUUGUAUUUUUUCCAAAAUUGUUCUCACCCCGUUACGCCUUUACUACCUGUUAUGCAAUCGUUCACUGCGUCAUCAUCCCUUCAUCCGGUACGACACGUCGCAUGCUUUUUCUUUCUUAACUGUUUCCUUUUCCUUUCUUUUUCCUUCUUAGUUAAAUUUUUCAAAUCCGCCAGCCAGUUACUACUUUUCCUCAGCAGCAUUCGCAUGUCUCCUUGUCCUUUAUCGCACCCGGCUCACCUAUUUCCUACCCUUUUGCUUUGCAUGUGCCUUUUGCCACUACUUCUGCGGCCUGGCCAGGUGAGUCCAAAGGGUGGUUCGAGCUUCUUUGGUAUAUCACGUUGCCGUCGGUCGGCUAGCCGGAAUAGAUUAGUCGGGUCGGUCGGGUCGGUCGCGCGUUUUAGUUUUUUUGGGGGGUUGGGAGGAGCACCUGCAUACCGACAGCCUUUUCAGCAUCAGCAAAUCAGCUAUUUCUCCAGGCCAGCAAUUUUACGCCACCUUUACGACAGCACCAUUUCACUACGCUUCCGCCGCCUUUACUACUACUUUUCUACUCCUACUUCUUUACGGAUUGGCAAUACUACUCCGCGUUUUUAGUUCUGGCGGCUUAGGUAGGUAGUUUUGUUUUUUUCCGACAUCAUCUUCACUUCUUCAUCCCGAGGUCACGGUCGCCACGGACGCCUUUCGGUCAGUUCUACGUUGGUUACUCUCUUGCCCUGGCAGCAGCUUCAAUCGUGUGUGGUUCGUCUUCCCCCCUUCCCCCCUUCCUUUCGGUCAGUUCUACGUUUGAUACACUCUUGCCCUGGCAGCAGCUUCAAUCGUGUGUGGUUCCGUCUUUCCCCCCUUUCCCCCCUUCCCCCCCCAGAUCAAGGAGUCCAUCAUCAACCACGUGGAUCAGGAGGUGCUGGUGGGCACCCUAAAGGAAGCGUUGCUGGUGUCGCCGGUGUACGCGGGGGACCGGAGCAAUAUGAACCCCAAGCAGAAGGCGGACUUGGAGAAGGACGUGGAGGCGUGGAGGGUAGGUGAAGAGGGCGCGGUGGUGUAGGGUUGGGGGGGGGAGGCAUGGAGGGUGGUAGAUGGAGGGGGCGCGGUGGGAUGGAUGUGGUUGGGGGAAUGCAGGUAGGAUGGCUGGGGCUCGGCCUAUUUGUCUGUCUGUCUGUCUGUCCGCUGUGUCUCAUUCGUGACGUUGGCGUGUUGCAGCAGCACCGCAUGCUUCUCUUCGUGAUCAUAUGACACGGGGCCGUCCCGCCCCGCCCCGCCCCGUUCUCGUCCCCUACGUUGCUUCCUUCCUCAUCUUGCUCCCCCUCUAUUACCGUUUCCGGCUCCAAAACCACCAAAAGCACGAAAAUCCCCGCAAAAGCCGUGAAACCCAUGUCUUCUGAAACGCGGCUACCCCCGCCCUCUCGUACGGCACGUCAGGAUCGUCGUGCGGCGAUGGAGGCGGCACGUCGGUCCGCCCUCUCUUCCCGGCCGUACCCCGGCGAGGACGAGGAACCCGUGUCGCCGCCGCCGGCCUCGCCGCCGCCGCCAGGCUACUUCGACGGCCUCGGCGACUUCCAGGACGAUGAGUUACACGCGUACGGCAUGAACGACGACGCCGGCGGCGGCAGCGACGCCGGCGGCGGUUACAAGGUUUCGGAGGCGGACGCUGACGCGGAGACGUACGGCGAUACUGGGGAGCCUUUGAAACGGCGGCGGAGGGACUCCGGUCUCGGGGAGGAGCAGGUUCCGGAGCAGGAAGACGAAGACCGUCCUAGGGGGCGAUUAACCAGCUGGGGUUUUGACGUGGAUGAGCCGUGUCCGGGUUGCCCGAUGUACGAGGGGUACGGCUUUGACUGAGACCGUACCGGUGCCGUGCAGCUGAGGUGGGGAUGCGAGUGGGAGUGGGGGUGGAGUGGGAGUGGAGGGGAUUUUGGAGCACGCGGCGGACCUCGCAGACCUCAGGUGUUUGAUAUAUGCGACGCCUCGGCAUUUUCCUUGUGUGUGUAUCUGUGUAUGUAUGUAUGUGUGUGUCUCUAUGUGUAUCUCUGUGUGUGUGUGUGUCUGCGUGUGGAGGUUACAAGUAUCUAUCUGACCGGGCCUGACGGCACUGGCCACAGAGGGGCGGCUGCCUGCUGCCCCAACGGAAAGACCGCCUAAGCUCUCUCCCCCGCGGACGGGAGAGGGGCGCUAGAGGGGCCUCUGUCCCCCCUCCUAAGCAGCGCCGAGAGCCGCAGGUCCGCUAGCUCCGCUCUCCUCCCCCCCGGCGGGUUGGGAGGCGUCGCACGUGCGCACGCGCUCUCACGAGUCAAGGCUCCGUCACGCGAGUUUGCGUUCACUGGGCCUGAAACCCCCCGGCCUGGUCUGGCGCUUGGGGUGAGGGUUCACUAAGACUAAGAGGAAACCCGGAAACCCUGUACAUACCCUACCCCUUCAUUGGGAGGUACUCGUCAGUCAGCAUCAAUAAACACGAAUCGAUCCCUGGGUGGGUGCUUGGAGCCCACACCAUUUCAGGCGCCACACCUCUCGUGGUUGUCCUUCGGGUGACUUAUGAAAGGGACAGAAUAAUUUUGGGGAAGUUUUUGGUUGUGGGGGUUAUGGUUAGGUUAUGGGUUGUUCUUUUGGUGUUUUGUUAUUGACGUGUCUCCUCAGCGUGAAGUAAUGUUAGAGGUAGGAAUGUACGGCACUUCCACUUGACACCACCGGUGGGACGUAUAAUACCUUGUAUGUACCGAUGCAUGGUGAUGUAAGAAGGGUUAAUGUGCAGGCUGCUGGGAACGGGUGAGGUUUGUUUCCUCGGUUGCGGUAGGUGUAUAGGAGUGCUGCUGUUGUGUUAUGUAACGAGAGAGCUUUAGGGUUUUAGUAGGGGUUCGAGCGCAUCAGCGGACACUGGUUUAGGCGGAACAAAUGAAGAACUGUACCCGUCUGGCGGGUUUAUAUGGAUCAUAGGGUAUUUUGCGCUCUCGCUUCACCGACAAGGGAAGCAAAGCAAAGACUUACCUUGACAGCGUAACGCGGGCAAUGUACGUGUGCGUAUGUAUGUGCGUCAUCGUUGUGUGUACUUGACCGUUUUUCCCUAAGGUCAAACAUCCAAAAUGCCAGCCAACGUACGUGUCUGUGUUUGUGUUUGUGGGCGUCUCAGGAGGAGGAAAAUCGGACCUGUGCCGCACGCACAUGCGUGUGUGUGUUAAAAGUGUGUAUGUGCCGACGCCCAAGCCUGGACUUAAUGGCGUAGCAUCGUGUGGGCGGGCAAACGGUUGUUUGCGAGCUGAGGGGGGCCCGUGCGUGGUUGUACUGGCCGUGGGGGUGCACUGGCUACUGUAGAGUGACGGGGGGGGGCCGGAGAAAGGAUAAGAGAUGUGAAUGGAGAUGAUCUGGGUUAGGGGGAAAGUGCGUCUGCAUGUGUUUUUGCUGGUUAUGUUGCCUGGUCAGGCCUCAUGACCUGUCUGGGGUGGGGGGGAGGGUUUACGGUACUUGAACAGGCCAGCUCAACGCGGGUAGGCAUGUUACAGAGGAAAAGUGGUAUGUGGGUUGGGCCACGUGCCACGGCGGGAUUCACAGAAGGGGGAUUGUGGAGGAGGUUGGCUGUGACGGAGAAUAAGGGUUCUCCCGCACUGCUUGGCACGAGCACGAGCAUCCAGCGGGAGCGUUGGUUCAUUUUCCACACGCGCCCGCGUGAUAGGGGCCGCAGCAGCAGCAGCAUUUCGCUAUCCUUGCCCUGGACGUGGCCGCGGAGGGGGCAGCAGAGGAAAAUACAACAGCGCGGAGGGAUGCGAAGGGCGCAGGCGGACAGUGGAAUCAUGUGGUAAAUUCACGUUCCCUUACCGUGACAAGCGAAGCCCAACUCAAGUACGGGCUGCAAGAGAUAUGAUUGAAGUUUCUUGGUCCUGAUUCGGCGUGUGAUUGUUCGUAUAGCAUCGCGUUAGCAAAGCACUGGUGGCGGAUAAACAAAAGCGUCGUCAUAAACAGCAAGCAGCUGCUACGAGAGAUGUAAGAAAUGCUCUAUUGUCAACGACAACGAGUUGAGCAAGGUCAAAGAAGCAACUACCAAAUUGGGGCUGCUGUCCGUCACGCCAACAAAUGGUAAAAUCACAAAAUACGUUCUGGUCUAAUAUACAGUACAAGAAACACAGAAGAUGCCUCACAACAGUGUGGAGAAUGUAACGUGCACAUACAGGAAAGGUUAACAAUGCACGACAUAGCACGGUCAGCACACUCAAGUGCAUGCUGCGACAGCUGGCCCUGAGGAAUGAGGACAACGGAAAAUGGCGUUACCUCCCUAGCGUACUAACGUUACAUCGCUGUAAUUAUGCGCGAUGGGAAACCAAACCUCCAGCGGGGGUGCUCUUGAGCAUUCCCUUGAUGUGGAAGAAAAUGCGAGGGCGCAAGUGCAAUCUGAAGAGCAGCUUCAAGGACCUGCAUAUGAACUUCUGGGUCCCGGACAGUAUAGGUUUCCGUUUGACCUGCCCAAUGUGAACCAUUUCCCGUCAUUAGAUGACGCACUCCGUUAUAAUCCCAAUGACGUCCCAGCAACGACUGGUCCUAGCGUAGAAACGCUUGCUAACCUGUACCCAUGCAACUUUCCGGAAGCAGGGCUCGUCAUGGAGCCACGCAGCGCAUAUGGCAGUUCAGCGCAGGCUGGAGUAGACGCAUACUUUUCUCGUAUGGUAAGAUGCGCGAACUAAUUCCACGCCAACGUUCCUACGCUAAAGAGCGUCUUGAACUUUAGCCACUGACCGCCACGCCAGCAUCCCUGGACAGGCUGAAUCUCCACCAACAGCUGUCCCAUGUCAGCUGCCCGACCUGCCCUUCCGUCCGGGGUCUCAACGGGCAUGGGGUGACAACUGGGAAAACCCUCAAGGUAACGCACUUACAUGAAUAAAAGAAUCUCGUCAAAGGGCCUUGCCACCUGCCAUCCUGAACUUGAAUGUACCAAUCCCUGAACCACGGCGCAACGGCCACCUGGCCGACCCGGCAUCUUACACACGCACGCAUCUCCUACCUGUCCUCUCUCUCCCACCCACUCAACCAUCCCACACACAAACACCACCCACACGCUUUUCCCCCGCUGUAGCUACCCACAUGACCCGGUCUCCUCCACCUUGGCCGGCGGCAUCCGAGCCCUCCACCACCUCCCUCUCCGUUACACACCUACCCACGAGUGACCUGAGCGGGACGCAAAGCGCAGCGGCUACGUGCGGCCGCGUCACACCUGCGGCAGCUGCCGCCGGAGCACCCCCCGGUACGACCACAACCGUCACCACCGCAAACACGUCGCCACUUGCCGCCACCGCAAGUGGCAUCACGGCGCGCCAUGGGCUCCGUCCUCCCAGCGCCACGGAGACGCCGUUGGCCCAGACGCGCCGGGUGCUUCGAGUAGCCAACCUCGCCGCGCUGCACAUGGACUCGUUUGAGUCGGACGUCUCUUCAGAGAUACUUUUGGAGACUGGGCGGCUGAGGGCAGCCCCUGCGGCUCGCGGUUCAGGCCUGACAGCAGCGGCGGCGACGGCGCGAGCGGCUGCGCCGCCGACACCAGCGGCGGCGGCGGCAGCGCCUGCCGCGCAGCAGCCUUUGUCCUCGGUACUUCCCCUAGUGACCACACCGGGCGAUGACUCCGAUGAGUUUUACGCUCCACCAUCAUCCUUUGUGGGACCGCCGGUGCAGGUGCAGGUGCAUGCGACUGAGGGGACUGUGCAGGCUCGACGCGCGCCGGGGUGGGUGAUCCCGGGUCCCGUGGCGACGUGGCGUCCGGACUCUGCUUCUACCGGCCGUAGAGAGCUAAGAACGCUGCAACAGGAAGACCUACCACCAUCAUCACAACAACAACAACAACAGCAACAGCAGUUUCAGCAACAGCACCAUCACCAGCAGGAGCUGCCGCAGCGCCCCUCACCAGGCACGACUGGCGGCUGGGUUGCCGUUACCGAUGUUGCUGCUCUUGCGGCUGCGCAGGAAGUGAAGGACAGUGUCGAUGGCGGCGAGGCCGGCGCCACUGACGGCGCCACUGCGCCACUCGGUCCUCAUGAACACUUUUCUGGUCACGGGCAUGGGAACAGCGGCAGCGGCGCCAUACCCGUGGGGGAUGGGUUUAGUAAUCCUGGCUGUAGCGCUGGCGAUGUUGGCGGUGGCGGAGCAGCCGACGGCGGCGGCGAUGGCGAAAUAGGUGUUACUGCAGACGGCGUGGAGCCCUUGGGUCGGGCUGCUGCUGUCAAUGACGGCGGUUUCGGAGGUGGUGGAGUGUACGACAGUAGUAAUAAUAGUGAAAUGGCGGGCCGCGGAGGUGAGGGGGCCGGCACCAGUCACGGCAUUGGGUGCACUGGCGGCGAUGGAUCUGCGCCAGUGAGCAGCUGCGCUAGCGGCGGCAGAGGCCCCAUGAACGACGACGGCGGCGGCAACGGCGACACCAAUGUCGUCGAUAACGGUGGGCAAUACGGUGGCGGCGGCGGCGGCUUUCACGCCGCAAUCGGCGAAAAAGGUAGCGACGACGCCGGCGCAGUCGCGGCCGGCGGCAGUAGCAGCCGUGGCAUCGGCAUAUUGGACAUGGCGACUGUCGCCAUCAACAGCCGUGGCGGCAGCACUGCCGCCGCCGCCGCCGCUGCCGUCCUCCGUCGGUAUGCCUCCAGCAGCGUGCCAAGUAGCACCGCCCCGAGCAUCGCCAUUUCCGAUCAGAACGCCGCCGGCACCGCCACUGGUGGUGGCGGCGGCAACGACGACCUCUGCGGCGGCGGCGGCGGCAGCAAUAAUAUCCCGGCGUCUGACUCCGGCGCCGGCAAAAACAACAACAACGAUGACAGUAACAAAACCAUCCGCGUUCCCGACAACCGUUAUCAUCCAGCCCUAGGUCGUCAUGCCUCAGCUCGAACCUUCUCCGGCCCACGCAACCCGGCGGCUCCAUUCCAGGGCCGCGGCCCCGGCGUGCAUCCCAGCUCCGACCCGGGGGAGGCCCCCAGGGGCUGCCCGUGGCGGGUGCCCCGGAGCACUUGGCCGUCGGCUUUUCGCAGCCACACGGAUCUGGGCCGCUUGGCGUGGCUGCAGCCGCCGUCGGCUGGCAGCGGUGGCGGCCGUGGAGGAGGCAGCAGCGGCAGGGGCGGCGGCGGCGGCGGCGGCGGUCGCGGUUUGACCCUUCAGAUGAAGGACUUCAGCCGAGUGAUGGACUCCGAAGCGCAGCAGGGAGCUGUCCCGCAGCCGUCGCUACAGGAACCAGUGUACCGACCAGCAUGGCGGCCGCCGCCGCCUUUACAGCUGCCGUCGCCGUCAGAGGCGCCGCUACAGGGCCCUGAUGCGGAAUGGCAUGCCGCGGCGGCGGCGGGGGGGGAUGUAAGAGAGGACGGGGGUCCAUACCGUGAAGGAGAAGGACCCGUGGACCCCAGGCCGUUGCAGUUGGGCACGGCGACGCGGCCCUUGUCGCACGGUUUUCACGGAGCAGCAGCAGGAGCUGACGUGUUGCGGGAUGUCGGGAUGUCUGCUGGCUCGGGGAAAGGACCUGGACAGACCGGGGGGAAAGGAUCCUCCCUCCCGCCGUCACACUCACAUCCGGAUGCACAACGACGGCCCUGGACAGCCGCGCCGGAGCCAUCGGGCUCAUUGGGCAUCAACCUUGCAGUGGAGUCAUCUGACCGGCCAUCUGCGCCCGCCAUCCCCGUGCCGACUCACCCCCAGUCGUCGCCAUCGGCCUUUCCCCAGCUUACUCCCUAUUCAUCCCAUGUCCCGUUUCCGCCGUUUCCGCCGCUGGCGGCGGCAGUGCCUGGCAUAUCCCCCGGCGGUAAGGGGGGUAUGGUCGACUCGGCCGCGCUGACAGAGCUAUGGGAGUUCCUACACGGCGGCCAUUCCAGAGGUGGCGGCCCCGUGGCCGCGCCGGCAGCCGGGUCUGGAAGCUGCUCUUCCGUAGCCGACGAGGCAUCGUAUGAGGACGUGUGGCCGCCGAACGCAUGGACACGGACCCGCAUUCGGCAGGAGCCAGUGCCAACGGCUAGGGGCUUUUCCCAACAACCUUCGGUUGGCGGCUCCUCUGGCGCGGCUCUCCUCCGGCCCAUGCAAGCUGACCCACAUCUUUCAGCCAUGCCGCCAUCACCGCCACCACCACAACCACCGCCGCCGCUCCCGCCCUUCACUUUGUCGCUACCAGCCAUCCCCGGAUACCACACCACCACCACCAACAACAACAACACCUCAUUACCCGAGCUUCUUAACCUCGAAGACGUCCGGCCUGCCCCGUCCUCGUCCUUGCCCACGGUCGCCCCACUCCAAUUUCGCGCCAUACGUUCAGUCCCUUUACCUUCUCUGUCCAGUGGUCAUUGCCGCGCUGGUGGUAGUGGUGAUGGUGAUGGUGAUGGUGGCGGCGACCAUCUCUCCCAUAAUCCACCAGCUCAUCCUUGGAACAGCCAUCAUCACCACCAGAACCACCACCAACAACGUCAAUAUCAACAACAUCGUCCGAAUCAUCAUCAGUAUUACGACCAUUACCACGACCACCAUCGCGGCGAUGCGAGGGGGCCAGGACCCCCAACUACUACUACAACUGCCGCCGCUCUUGCCGCCGCCAGACCUCCCGGAGGUGCUGCUCCUGGAGGCAGUGGUAGUGGUGGUGGAGGUGGUGGUGGUGGUGGUGCUUUUGGAUCGAGUGAUGUUGCGGCAGCGCUGCUGCGCGGGUCCUUCAGUUGGUCACCCGAGGACUCCGUCGUGAGACUUCCCACAACGCACCUGCAGGCGGAGCUGAGUUGGGACGCAUCGUCUGUAGAAGGAGGACGACAGAGGCGCGACGGCUGGCAAGGGCCAGGACCAGUCUGUGGCUUGGGGCCGGUAAGCGGCGCUGCUGCUCUGGAGGAGCAGCAGCAGCAGCAGCAAACAACAGCAAGGAGGCGGCGGCCAGGCCAGCCCUACUUUUACCGCGACCGCGAUGAUGACAACCACCAUCACCACCACCAAGGACAGCAACGGAGGCAGGGACAGGGACAAGAGCGCAAUACCGGCGCAGAGGCGGCCGCGCCGUCGCAGGUCGCACCGCCGCAGGUACCGCAAGAUUGACCCUGCUUAAGAGCCUGGGCUGCUCUCGUCCUCAUUGAGACGUGCCUUCUUCUCCGCGCGGCUUUCGACGUCACAGACGCCUCUGCCCUCGCCGCGACGCGUCGCUGCUAAUAUUAACCUCUUUGUGAGCAAUGAAGGCAUGUCGCCCGAAGGCAGAGGAUCCCAAAAGGAUCGCCAGCGUGGAUCCCUUUCCGUAACCCAGACGCAAUCCAAAUAGUCAACAUUACUCCGGCUGCCAAUGAAUGAUUUUGGUGUGGUAGAACAUCCUCGUCUUACUGCUGGUGUGGGUGCGCGUUGUUGCCAUUGCGGCUAUCUCGCAUGGACCUCUGCAGGUGCAAGUCAACGUCAACCUGGAUGCAAGCUCCCUCAGUGACGUGUUCUCGCAGUGCCUGCAAGCCGCAGUGCCUGCGGUGUGCGCCGCGGCGGCGGCGGCAGCGGUCCUGGGCCAAGGUACGCUGAACAGCAUAUCGCGGCAAAAGCACACACGCAACCCCGCCCAGGAUGAGCCUUGGAUGAGAAGGAAACCUUUUAGGGAUUUUCACGGGCCAUGGACUCGCUCCCAGGCGCUGUUCGAUGGCCAAUUUUCAGCUGCUGUUUGCUGCUGUGUCGGUGCUGCUGUGGCUUCGAAUCCAGGGGCGUUGCAAGCUUCGCUGGCCGGCCGGCCGGUCCUGCCCGAAGGCGGUGGUGGCGAUCCUGUCGCUGCGUUGGCGGUUAAUACUGCCAGGGAGCUGCUGCCAGCCCGAGCGACGACGACGAAAGGGGCACCACAUCCCGACGGCAAGGUGAGGGUAGGUGUGGGUGGGUGCCCAUCCGGAUGAGCCGAGCUCUGGGAGCGUUGGUGGGUUUGGACACGUUGUGAAGAAAUGUAUGCCUAGCCUGGUCUUGUCCAGGCCAGCCUACCCCUUUUUAGCCUAGGUGCAUAUGCUAGGUGCCUAUCGCGGGAGGUGGAGAUGUGGGAAAGGCUUUACUGCAUUUUGGAGAUUGGGUCCUCCGCAUAGAAGACUAUGUCCGCACGAUAGAAUAUUCCAUUUACAACUGCCCUACAACGAAUCAUCAAGGUGGCACGUACGGUUGGGUUUUGACGAGUAUCUGAAGUGCAGAAAGUGUGGUGGGUGUUUGGCACGGCACGGCAUGGGGACGGAUGGUGUCAAAUGCGGCAUAUGCCAUAGCUGCCACUACCGCGGGGUGUCGAAGUUAGCGGAAGUGGGGUCGGCUCUACUUCACUGUACGUUGGGUAUGUGACCACUUACGAACGUCUUAAUGUAUUCAUGGCUGGCACCUUUUUUCCAUUUUUACUUUCCUAACGGCCAUCACUUUUCCAACCAGAGCCUCUUGGGCUACCCAUAGCUGCAGAGCUGCACUCUCCCUUCUCCUAGCUUUGAAUUCGUCGACAGUUCACCCUUUGCUUAUUCUUGCGUCAUAUAAUUUCUCCCUCCCUCCUCCCCCGUUGUCGCUCGUCUUUCGCCAUAUCCGGCCGUAAUCCACCUGCUGGCUUCGCCCUUAUGUCUCCGUCGCCGUGGCUGCGGCUGUUAUGAAUGAACAACACCUCCCCCUGGGUCCUGCGCGCCUGUGAUGCCACGAAUCCCCCCCCCCACGAAGCGCCUGGAGCUCGGCCCCAGUUUAGGACUCGGCCUAACCCCUGGCUUAGCAGCCGCUUGCAACGCAGCCACACAGACCGACUCGCCGCCCUGUAAUGUGGAAGCACAAACCAAGCUGCUCCAACCAGCAUCUGCCGACACCGUCGCCGCCAUGAGCACCACCAACGCAACCACAAGCGCCGGCAAUGCCAGGUCGCAUCAGGAGCCUCCUCUUCAUCCUUGGCGCGGAUUUCCAGUCGCCGCAGCAUCCAUGAUGCCCAGUGAUGAUGGCGUCUGCGGCGGUCCAGCGCCUCCGCUGGGUAUCGUGCCUCCUCUGUUCAACUCUGCCUCGCCAGCGUACAGUGAACUGCUCCGGAGGACUGCCAUGGCCACGCCAGCCGUACCGACGGCGGCGGCGGCAUCCACCGACGCGGCGUUAGCCGCGUCCAUGAACUUGAAGAAGAACAUGGCGCAAGGGCAGCCGUGGACUUCGGGUGGUGGUUCAUGGUGGUCUCCUAGGGACGCGCCGUCCCUUUCCGUGAGCUCCUCCCCAGAAAGGGUCGGUACUUCGGCUUCGGGCGAGGUGGGGAAGGGGACGGCCGUCUCCGAUUGUCACAUGGGCCCGGCGGCGGCGUUAGCUGCGUCGCCGUUGCGGGUCUCCGCGUCGCUGUCGAGUUUGCUUACACCCGCGAUUAGCCAGGCGGCGACAACAAUGCCGCCGUCUGUCGGAGCCGUCACCGCAAGAGCCGAGGGGCUGCAACAUCAUGGCGUUCUGACCGCGGCUGCUACUUCGACGGUGACGGCCUCGGCGGUGGUUGACCGGGGCCCGGUGUUCCAUAGCCAGGCAGCCGCCAGUCUGUUCGAGGAGUGCCGACGGGAGAUUCACAAGCGGGCCGCCGAAGGGCAGGCGGGCUUGAUGGUGCCAUGUACGACAGCCGUUACCAGCGUCAGCGGUGUACGGUCGCCACAUGUUCGGCACGCUGGUGGUCAAGCAGGUCAUCGCUUCAUCGCUGGCGGCGGCGGUGGUGGGAGCAAGCCAACGCCUGCGGAACCCAUGAGCUACACCGUCGGUUCACCGGACGUGAAACGCCGACGGUUGACAUUGGCUGGAGAGAACGGUGGGGGGCCGGUGGCGUACGGUGCCACAGCCGGGACCGCUCCACAGCUUGGCUGUGGGCCGUUCGCGCGGCCAUCUUCGUGUGUCGGCGUGGCUGACGCGAUGUGCUUAAAUCCUAUCCUCCUCCGUUAUGCGCCGCCAUCAAUAGCUAGUCUGGAGCAGCAGAACGGAGUUGCUGCUGGGGCUAGGGGUUCAAUGCAGUCGCAGUUACUGGCUGGCAGGCCCGAUGUGCCAGUGUGGCAGCAGCCGCAAGUUGUCGGAUUUCCAACACCGAUGGCCAACACGGCGCCACAUUUACUGGGCCUGUCCGAGUUCGCUGAUCGGAUGAUGUUUGACGUGGAUGGACUGAGAUUAGGUGGAGCGUUCACAACAUUUAAGGUUGUUGGCUUGGGGGCUGCCACGCACGCGGAAGGUGAUGGCGAGGUCCCUGGCGCGUUGUUUGAGGGAAGCUGGGAGACCGAGGCGGAGAAGCUGAGACACAUGGAGUACUCACAGAAUGGAACGGACGCUGCACUAGCUGCAGAAGAAGCGGCCACCGACGCGCGCGGCGGUAUGGAAUUGGUGGCCUCUCCGCAAAUGCAUAACCAGCAGUCAGAAAUGCUCCUGCGCUUUUUGGAUAGCCUCGACCAGCGCCCGAUUUAAAAACUGCUUAUUACGAAUGGAGCGAAAGGGAGUGUUUGGGGAUAUGGCUGACUUUUUUGGUCGUUUGGAUGUACGUUGCCGCCGUAUUGACCAUUCCGCGCAAAGCAUGCCAUGCGCAACCUUGUAUCCAUUACAGGCCUAUCAGUUCUGUUUAAUUCACGUAUUCCCUGCUUUUACUAGGCAGGAAACGUUUGAAUUUUGCAUAUCGCGCGCGACUUUGACAUAUUUCACGUAACUUCAAAGCUCUGUCAGGUGGAACGCCAUGGCUGUUAGCGUUCUAUCUGUGCGCCCAUUGAAUAAUCCAGCCAUGUUUACGGACCCGCUAGCUUUUGAGAUAGAGUACGAGGCGGUGACAUCGUUGCAACAGGAUCUUGUUUGGAAGCUUGUCUACGUCGGGUCUGCUGACAGCGAUCGUUAUGACCAGGAGCUAGAAAACAUUGAGGUCGGGCCGGUCAUGGCGGGCACUUUCAAGUUCGUGCUCGAGGCCAACCCGCCGAAUCCUCAGAAAAUUCCAGCCGACGACCUGGUAGGAGUCACAGUCAUUUUGCUGACGUGCUCCUACCGGGACAAAGAGUUCAUCCGUGUGGGUUACUACGUCAACAAUGACUACCUGGACGAGGAGCUGCGGGAAAACCCCCCAGAGCAGCCGCGCUUGGAUCGGCUUCAGCGGAGCAUUCUCGAUGAGCAUCCGCGCGUCACGCGUUACGCAAUUCCCUUCGAUGAUCCGGAACCAGCUGAUGGCGCACAGCCAAUGGAUGAGGAUGGCUCACAACCGAUGCAGGGAACGGAGUCAGCGGACGCCAUGAUGACCGCUCCGCCGCUGCAAGCAACAGCUUUCCAGAGUCAACCAGGAAUGUUUGACGGGCACGCGCAGCAGGCUGGACCCCAGCAAAUGUACCAUUAUGUACCAGUGCAAUGAUGAGUAUUCUGCUGUUGCUUUGCUGGCGAUCGGCAACCUUACAUGUGGUCUUGUUAUACCAUUGCGAAGGCCGCAGUGCGGAAGAUAAGAGUUUAAUGGGGGGUUGCGACCCUGCAUAGGGCAUGCAGACGACAGGAAUUGGUUGUACACCUCAUGGUUGGGUUACAGAGCAUGGGUUUCGGUUGUAUUCUGGCACGCAGCUGACUUUUUGACAAUCCUAGGCGUCCGGUUGUGAGGGUGUAUGCCUUUGCUUGACAUGAUAAGACGCGUGGACGUGACGGAACCCACGGAAAGACCGUUGCGGGCUAAUUCAUGACUGGGCACCUUGUUGUGGAACUGUCCAGGAUAUUGGAUGCUUUCGACUGUAUUGCCCCAUGUCUGCACGCGCGAACAUGUGCGUCUUUUUUACGUUAACCAGUGUUCACUUCAGACUUUGACUCUUCUAGGGUUUGACUCUGUGGGAGUGGGCGGCCAGCAUAUAUCCAAUGAUAAAUUUGUAUAUAUGGAGAUACUUCUAUUGGUCUACUUGCAUUUUGGGCCCACGAGCUGUAUUUUAAAGCAGUUGGACCGACGAGCUUUUAUAUGCGGACAACACCGUAGCUGCAUCACAGGACAAGGGGCUGGGCUAGCCAAUUGCUAUGGAUGUGCUUUUCAUUUAUGUAAGCAUAGAAACUCACAGGCUGCUAUCGAAUAAUGCAUUGGAGUUUUCGCAUACGGCAAGACGGUUGCACGGCAGCAACGCCAUCCGCCAGUUUACGGCCGGCGCACCCUAAGUGUGCUAAGUAUGCAGCAAGUUCGGCACUGGACGCAAGGAGCUAUACAAUUACCUUUCUUUCUGCUUGGUAACGUCUUCGCGUCAUGUCUUCUACGGCUUUCAAAGUAAUGCCAGCAGUAUCACGACUGGGCUUUUUGAAGGUCCCACGCCGAGUUAUCUCAUGCCGUGCUAAGAUACAAGAGAAUAUGCCUGAACCCUUGGUGGCGCUGUCGUCUCCAACCCCACGCAUGAGGAACGGUUCCAUGAUAAGGAGCCUUGCAGCUGCUGUCGAGCUGAAUGUGAGUUGUAGGACAGUCCUGGGCACUACAUCGUGGAUGUGGGUUAAUGGUCAGCUCCCUUGUUCGCUUAACUGCUCGGUCGAUCAUUUUGGCGGGUUACCUUUCUAGGGCUGUUUAUGAUUAUUUAUGAUCCUUUACUUUUCUACAGAGUCAGGCUCAACGUUAUGAAACAUUUGCGGGGCGAAGCGCGAUGGUAAGUCGGAUUGUUUCGGAACAUGUUGCCGGGGCUCGCCGCUAACACUUUCCGACGUGGUGGGCUCGGCAGGUCGGUGUAGCCGUCGCAGCAUGUAUCGAAAUAAUUACCGAUCACAGCGUGUUCUUCCCCGUCAACGGCGAUACCGCGAUAACCUACGCUUGCGUGGCCCUGGCGACUCUUGCGUCGUCUGUGGGCAUUGCUUUCGUGAGGGGUCGUGGCGACUCUCCAGCUGCCGGCACUGGUGUCGACAUUUUGGAAGCAGUCUAUGCAUCCCUCACGGCGGCUCAACGCUCUGCUGCGAGCGUCACGCAAGCUCAGGUAGGAGGUGGCGCCGUGAGGGCAGGGCAGGCGUUGCAAGCACCGUUUUAUCCGUUCGUAACUCGCUAACUAACCAAUAUAGCUUUCUGACCUUCUUGUGCGAUUGAAGCUAUGGAUAGCUUUGCUCCUAGCUGGCUAAAUCGCACCGACAUAACCCAGCAUAACCAAGACCUGCCAUAACCAAGGGAAAGCUCCGAUGGUACUCGUCGCUUUGCUGAGUUAAAUAUUAAGCAUCAUCGUCACCUUGUCGCUGAACAUGCAUCCGGAACCACACGUCCACCAUACCCAGAGGCCCCUAACAUGCCACCAGUCUGCACUUCCUUCGCUUCCAUUUCUUUUCCUGCACCAAGUUUUUCCAUCCGUCAUCGACACGUUCAAAAGGUCCUGCGCCAAAAGGCCCCACAAAGCCGCGUGCUCAGAACAUGCCAGUGUCCAUUCCAAUUAUUCCCCUCUUCUCUCUUCUCUUCCUAAGUCUUUUGAUGAUGAUUAGGAUACCAGUCAAUCCGGAUACCGGAUACCGGAUCCGGAUACCGGUCAAUCCUUUCAUAACCUUAAGCCCCCUCUGUAUCCUCGGACUCCACUCUCGCGGUGGCGUUUUUUUCAUCGCAUCUGAGCAGGUGGAUAAGGCGGUGGACUAUGUGUUGGAAACGGUUCUGGAAGGCCGCUUCGACAGCUUCUCCAUCGAGGGCCUUAUGACGGCCUCAGAUGAAGAGCCUUGAGUAAAGCCGCCGGCAAAAGAAAGCUGUUGCAGAUAAAUAUGUACGUCUGCCGCGCCCCUGGUCGCGGCUACGCCUACAGCGCUUUGCGAGCUGCUGCCGUCGAUCACCGGUGUUGAUGAAGGUGGUAUGGUAAUAUGGCUUAUGUGGCUCCGGAGCUGCUUUGACGACGUUGUUCGGCGGCACCUCGACGGCGGCAGGCAGAGCUGAGCUGGGCUGAGCUUAGGCGGCGACAAACAAUACUUUGUAUCGAUAGCGGUGCUGGCAGCCAUGAAUGGCUUGGCCACAGCUUUCUGCUGCUACUACAGCUGCUGCUGCUGCUGCUACAGUCGCUGUUCCUGGUCCUGCUGCUGCCAUUGAUUAAUAUCUCCCAGGCGACGAAGGGGAAAGGGGAGGGAGAACUGACUUUUCUUGCUACUGCUGGUUAUUUCGUCGCGGUCCUCCACAUCGUCCACUUCUGAACCGCCUUCGGGGUGAGCUCUGCUGUUGGAUGGGCCACUGCACUGCACCGCACUGCACUGCACUGCAGGGCGACCAACCAGACAGAGUGAAAUGGGGGAUCGAUGAAAGGAUGUGGGUUUUGUGGGUUUGGUGCCGUACACCGAUAUGUCUGUCCCGUGGGCCGAGUUGGUACCGGUCAGUUCCUCAAGCAGUUAGUUCCUCGUUGCCUCCAUCAGGUGUUUGCCGUUGCUAGUCCGAGGUAACGCUUAAAACCGCGAAGUACCUGCGGAUGCCGUAUUAUUGCGCGUGCCAGUACGAAGCGGGCCAAGAGAGAUCCUAGUAGAGAGACGCUGCGCACCCCUCGCUAUGGGCGUAGGUCCAUAAAUGUACCUGGUCGCAUACCGCGAAACCGGCAAGGGGCGAGCCUGGAGGCUCAAGCAUCUCCGUCUUUAGCUGGGCAUCGAGCUGAGCAUUUAGGCAUUCCGCACCUCUGUCACUUUUCAGCCUCGACCUCGAUCACGUGGGUUAAUCCUCGAGGGUUGUACCCCACGUGGGGGGCGGUGAAGGGUUUGGCUCGCGCUGCUGCUUUGCUUUGCUUUGCGCACCCCUCCCGCCGCACAUUGGGGCGGUGUGGGGACUGUUCCGGAGCUCUUUGCGGCGUUUGUUGUGUUUGUCACCGUGGUGCAGGAAAUGCGGGGGAAGGAAGGGAAUUACCUCACCUCACCUGGAUUGCGAUAGUCGGCCACUCCAGGCGGAAAGUGCAGUUGUCUAUCUAUAGCUUAUGCAUGAAGAGUUUUAGGGUAUUCGAUGCACUCAACUUUCAAUGGGGCGCGCUUGGGCGUCACGUUUGCUUUUUUGGGGGUUACCACCCAAUUGGUGUCGCGAACCAGCUGUGGACUGCACCCUGGCUCCUCUUAGAUUUGAGUCCCGUUGACUUGCCCCCAUAUGUGUGUGUAAAUCUGUGGGGGGUGUGUUGUGGGGGGUUUUGGAUGUGGGCGUUCUUACACCCUUGUAUAGAGGGGUCUGAGAACCCUCGGCAUCGUUUUGGGGGCGGCCGGGUUGCUAGGGUUGCAGCCACUGUGCUUGCGGGUUGAGGAAUGGAUUUUCGGUGGCUUAUAUGUGCAUGUGUAUAAAGGCUGCUCAAUUCAGCAGCAGCAGGGGGCCGUACUGUGGCGGCUGCUGCUGCGGCGGCGGUUCUCGUUGAUUUGCUGCUUAGGCACCUGCUGCCGCAGUCGCAGCAGCAGCACCGGGCGCAACGGCGCUAGGUGCAUGGGACACAGAUUGUACUGCAUUUCCCGUGGUGGGUCGCAAUUGAAGUCUCUAUCGAAAGCGGUUCGGAUGUGUGUCUGUUGCUGCAGCUGUUGUUGUAGCUGUUGUUAUCGCGUCGGGUUCGAUUAAAGUGCAGCAGGAGAGCCUCCCCUUUUGGACCACUGGCGAGGGUUGGGUCAAUUGGUGGUAAUAAGGGUGCGGCGUUGGGUUCUCCUUUUAUUUUCUUUUUCGAAAUUACCGUCCAUGUCGUCACCGUAGCAGCUACACAGCAGCAUACGCCCACACGUCACAUUUGGUGGGUAAUACACGUUGCGGUGCCCAAGGUGGUGGCUGCUUCCAAACCAUGAUUCUUUUUUGGCGGCAUUCUUUGAUACGGCGGAGAUACCGAGGCUGCUUGCGGCUAGGUGGGUGAGAAGGAAGGAUGGAGAGCGGGACGGAUGACAUCAGGUUUCCGAGUGCGUCUUGUUGCUACGCACGCUACACACGCGCACACAUAUACACGAACGUUCCUUUUCCGCCUUGCUUUGGUUUUCUGGCUACCGUGGCAUAUUUGCUUUAAUGGACAUACGCCCAUUGUGUACUUUUAUUCUUGUGUGUGCGUGUAUGUAUGUAUGUAUGUGUUAUGUAUCUUGUUACCAGAAGGCAGUUGUACAUGGCUGGGAGGGUAGAGCGGUCAUCAAGCACGCGACGUCAAGCCACGCAAGCCGUCUUCGUCAGAUCAUUUAUCGCGGCUUUUACGUUGAUUUCUUACGGCUGACGGCUGGUGUAGGAUUUUGAAGAAAAUUUACAGUGUAUCAUACGAAGUUUUUACCUUAUACAAAAACGUUGAAGGUGUAUGGUCUCCUCAUGUCCAUUGCUGUUGGACGGAAUUUAGCGGUCUGGAAGUGGGGGCGCUGCAGGAGUUACAGGAGCUGUUGUAAUUAUAUAUUAUACGCAUUUCACACCUUGUUGGCCCUUUUGGGAUAUUUUAUGUCGCGAGCGAUGUGCGGCGCUGUGCGCUAAUGCACAUGCUUGGCAACAAUCGCUGCUUCUGUUCCUGUGUGAGGAAGCAGGCGGCAAUGUCUGAGGAUGUAACCAG